rnacentral:rRNA from 1 species
ACGAGUGGCGGACGGGUGAGUAACACGUGGGUAACCUGCCCUUAAGUGGGGGAUAACAUUUGGAAACAGAUGCUAAUACCGCAUAGAUCCAAGAACCGCAUGGUUCUUGGCUGAAAGAUGGCGUAAGCUAUCGCUUUUGGAUGGACCCGCGGCGUAUUAGCUAGUUGGUGAGGUAAUGGCUCACCAAGGCGAUGAUACGUAGCCGAACUGAGAGGUUGAUCGGCCACAUUGGGACUGAGACACGGCCCAAACUCCUACGGGAGGCAGCAGUAGGGAAUCUUCCACAAUGGACGCAAGUCUGAUGGAGCAACGCCGCGUGAGUGAAGAAGGCUUUCGGGUCGUAAAACUCUGUUGUUGGAGAAGAAUGGUCGGCAGAGUAACUGUUGCCGGCGUGACGGUAUCCAACCAGAAAGCCACGGCUAACUACGUGCCAGCAGCCGCGGUAAUACGUAGGUGGCAAGCGUUAUCCGGAUUUAUUGGGCGUAAAGCGAGCGCAGGCGGUUUUUUAAGUCUGAUGUGAAAGCCCUCGGCUUAACCGAGGAAGCGCAUCGGAAACUGGGAAACUUGAGUGCAGAAGAGGACAGUGGAACUCCAUGUGUAGCGGUGAAAUGCGUCGGAAACUGGGAAACUUGAGUGCAGAAGAGGACAGUGGAACUCCAUGUGUAGCGGUGAAAUGCGUAGAUAUAUGGAAGAACACCAGUGGCGAAGGCGGCUGUCUGGUCUGUAACUGACGCUGAGGCUCGAAACAUGGGUAGCGAACAGGAUUAGAUACCCUGGUAGUCCAUGCCGUAAACGAUGAAUGCUAGGUGUUGGAGGGUUUCCGCCCUUCAGUGCCGCAGCUAACGCAUUAAGCAUUCCGCCUGGGGAGUACGACCGCAAGGUUGAAACUCAAAGGAAUUGACGGGGGCCCGCACAAGCGGUGGAGCAUGUGGUUUAAUUCGAAGCAACGCGAAGAACCUUACCAGGUCUUGACAUCUUUUGAUCACCUGAGAGAUCAGGUUUCCCCUUCGGGGGCAAAAUGACAGGUGGUGCAUGGUUGUCGUCAGCUCGUGUCGUGAGAUGUUGGGUUAAGUCCCGCAACGAGCGCAACCCUUAUGACUAGUUGCCAGCAUUUAGUUGGGCACUCUAGUAAGACUGCCGGUGACAAACCGGAGGAAGGUGGGGAUGACGUCAAAUCAUCAUGCCCCUUAUGACCUGGGCUACACACGUGCUACAAUGGAUGGUACAACGAGUUGCGAGACCGCGAGGUCAAGCUAAUCUCUUAAAGCCAUUCUCAGUUCGGACUGUAGGCUGCAACUCGCCUACACGAAGUCGGAAUCGCUAGUAAUCGCGGAUCAGCACGCCGCGGUGAAUACGUUCCCGGGCCUUGUACACACCGCCCGUCACACCAU